rnacentral:rRNA from 1 species
AGAGUUUGAUCCUGGCUCAGGAUGAACGCUAGCGACAGGCCUAACACAUGCAAGUCGAGGGGCAUCAUGAUCUGUAGCAAUACGGGUUGAUGGCGACCGGCGCACGGGUGAGUAACGCGUAUGUAAUCUACCUGUAACAGUGAGAUAACCCGGAGAAAUCCGGCCUAAUAUCGCAUGACACAUAGACUUCGCAUGAAGACUAUGUUAAAGAAAUUCGGUUACAGAUGAACAUGCGUUCCAUUAGCUAGUUGGCGGGGUAACGGCCCACCAAGGCGACGAUGGAUAGGGGUUCUGAGAGGAAGGUCCCCCACACUGGUACUGAGACACGGACCAGACUCCUACGGGAGGCAGCAGUGAGGAAUAUUGGUCAAUGGGCGAAAGCCUGAACCAGCCAAGUCGCGUGGAGGAAGACAGCCCUAUGGGUUGUAAACUCCUUUUACCUGGGAAUAACAGGCGCUACGCGUAGCGCUAUGCAUGUACCAGGAGAAUAAGCAUCGGCUAAUUCCGUGCCAGCAGCCGC